rnacentral:rRNA from 1 species
AUUGAACGCUGGCGGCAGGCCUAACACAUGCAAGUCGAGCGGAGCGGCGGACGUGUGAGUAAUGCCUAGGAAUCUGCCUGGUAGUGGGGGAUAACGUCCGGAACCGGGCGCUAAUACCGCAUACUAUCAGAUGAGCCUAGGUCGGAUUAGCUAGUUGGUGGGGUAAAGGCCUACCAAGGCGACGAUCCGUAACUGGUCUGAGAGGAUGAUCAGUCACAUGGGAAUGGGGAAGCGGUCCAGACGCCUAGGGGAGGCAGCGGUGGGGAAUAUUGGACAAUGGGCGAAAGCCUGAUCCAGCCAUGCCGCGUGUGUGAAGAAGGUCUUCGGAUUGUAAAGCACUUUAAGUUGGGAGGCGUUACCAAAAGAAUAAGCACCGGCUAAAUUCGUGCCAGCAGCGCGGUAAUAC